AGAGAGAGACAUGCGCGCAUAUCAAUAAGCGGAGGAAAAGAAACUAACAAGGAUUCCCCUAGUAACGGCGAGUGAAGCGGGAAGAGCUCAAAUUUGAAAUCUUAAAGGGUUUCCCUUUACGAAUUGUAGUUUAAAGAAGUGUUUUCUGUUGAGGUUUUGGUAAAAGUUCUUUGGAAUAGGACAUCAUAGAGGGUGAGAAUCCCGUAUUUGACCUUUACUUUCAACUUUGUGAUACACUUUCAAGGAGUCGGAUUGUUUGGGAAUGCAGUCCAAAAUGGGUGGUAAAUUUCAUCUAAAGCUAAAUAUUGGCGAGAGACCGAUAGCGAACAAGUACCGUGAGGGAAAGAUGAAAAGAACUUUGAAAAGAGAGUUAAACAGUACGUGAAAUUGUCAAAAGGGAAGCGUUUGACACCAGUGUUGUUUUUCUGAAAAUCAAUUAAAGAACUGUUUAUGCUAAGUUGUUUAGACUUUAUCAGCUAACUGUUUAGUUUUGAGCUUUUCUUUAAUGCACUUUUCAGUUAACAAGUCAACAUCAAUUUCUUUUGCUGUAAAAAAGCUUGAGGAAGGUGGCUUGAGAUUCGUCUUAAGUGUUUAUAGCCUCUUGCCUAUGCAGUCGGAGAGAUUGAGGUCUGCAGCGUAGAUCCUUCGGGGCUAAAUGCAUUUGUGCUAAGUUAUAGCAUUUUAUAGACAACUUGUUGACUAUGAUUUGUCUUGUAGCUUACUCGCUUAUGUUAUUUUACCUACGCUUAGGAUGUUGACGCAUGAGAUAUACGC
rnacentral:rRNA from 1 species